rnacentral:rRNA from 1 species
UACGAAGGGGGCUAGCGUUGCUCGGAAUUACUGGGCGUAAAGCGCACGUAGGCGGCUUCUAAGUCGGGGGUGAAAUCCUGGAGCUCAACUCCAGAACUGCCUUCGAUACUGGAGAGCUCGAGUCCGGGAGAGGUGAGUGGAACUGCGAGUGUAGAGGUGAAAUUCGUAGAAUAUUCGCAAGAACACCAGUGGCGAAGGCGGCUCACUGGCCCGGUACUGACGCUGAGGUGCGAAAGCGUGGGGAGCAAACAGG